rnacentral:snoRNA from 1 species
UUUGGUGAUGAUUUUUUUAUAUUCACACUGUACGAGAAGUUUAACAACUUCCCUGACUACAUCAACAAAAAACUGAUUUAAUGACUCUGAAG